rnacentral:rRNA from 1 species
GUGGGGAAUCUUGCGCAAUGGGCGAAAGCCUGACGCAGCCAUGCCGCGUGAAUGAUGAAGGUCUUAGGAUUGUAAAAUUCUUUCACCGGGGACGAUAAUGACGGUACCCGGAGAAGAAGCUCCGGCUAACUUCGUGCCAGCAGCCGCGGUAAUACGAAGGGGGCUAGCGUUGCUCGGAAUUACUGGGCGUAAAGGGCGCGUAGGCGGACAGCUUAGUCAGAGGUGAAAGCCCAGGGCUCAACCCUGGAAUUGCCUUUGAUACUGGCUGUCUUGAGUUUGGGAGAGGUGAGUGGAACUCCGAGUGUAGAGGUGAAAUUCGUAGAUAUUCGGAAGAACACCAGUGGCGAAGGCGACUCACUGGCCCAAUACUGACGCUGAGGCGCGAAAGCGUGGGGAGCAAACAGGAUUAGAUACCCUGGUAGUCC